UUAGUAUGAAGCAAAAAUUGCAUUUAGUUUCGACCUAAAAAUUUGAUAUUAUUAUCCCUACUAAU
rnacentral:tRNA from 1 species